rnacentral:piRNA from 1 species
UAGAAGCACCUAAAAGGUAGCCUCCCUUGUC